AAGGAAAAAAAAAGUACAAGGACCUAAUUAAAAAUUUCGCAAAACUAUAAAGACCAACAGAAUAAUUAAACCUUCUAUUUAUACUUAAUUAUGUUUCUAAUUUGUUUUGCAAUACAAAGCUGUUCGAGCUACAAUAAGGGAAACGCCUUCAUCCACAGUCAGCAAUAAAGGGCGUUCCCCUUCACCUUUACAACGUGAGAGACCCGGAGCUUUUGCAUUCACUUCAACUUCAACCUUGCCUAAAAAAGAUUUAGAAAAGAAUUCGGUUUCACCACACAGAUUUCCACUGUUACGUACUGGAUCUUU